rnacentral:rRNA from 1 species
GUAACUGCGAGCGAAGCGGGAACAGCUCGAGCAGGCAAUCUCUGGUGUCGAUCGCCAGCGAAUUGUGGCCGGUAGAGGCGGAUGCACCUGACGCGACUCCGUCGAAGUUGACCUGGAAAGGCACGUCGGAGAGGGUGAUAGCCCCGUGCGUGGCUGAGUCGCCGAGGGCCGCUACCGUCUUCCGAGAGUCGGGUUGUUUGGGAGUGCAGCCCAAAGUGGGUGGUAAACUCCAUCUAAAGCCAAAUAGCGGCACGAGACCGAUAGCGAACAAGUACCAUGAGGGAAAGGUGAAAAGCACUUUGGAAAGAGAGUUAAAGAGGCCGCAAAACCGUUGGGAGGGAAACGCAUGCAGCCGGACCGGCCAGCAUGGAGUUCACGGGGCUGCCGUCAGUCGCGUUCGCCGUCGUCACCGAAAGGGUCGGCGGUGGGCUCCGGCUCUCGGCACCCCUGCACUCUCGGUGCUUCGGGCCGGCCAAGCGCGGCGGGAUCUGGGCGACGAGCUCGGUCGGGCAGGUAGCGCAGCCGCCUGGCGGAGGCCAACUUAUAGCCGGCCGAACGGAGCGUCCGGGACCCGCCGAGGAGAGCGGUGGCACUUCCACCCAAGCAGCGCAGGCCGCUCGUCGGCGGGGGCUCUCUGGCUCGUUGGCGAGCCGCUCCGCGUCACUGCGUGCAGUGGCCGGGGACGGUGCGCCUCCGGGUCGGGGGUAGCUCACUCCUUGCGCUCGGGCCGCUUGGCCCGACGUCGGCUGC